rnacentral:tRNA from 10 species
GCGGAAGUAGUUCAGUGGUAGAACACCACCUUGCCAAGGUGGGGGUCGCGGGUUCAAAUCCCGUCUUCCGCUCCA